AUCAAGUGGCAGAGCUGAUGCUGGAGUCUCAGGCGAGAGCAGCACCCUUUGACCUUUUCAACUCUUACCCGCCUGAUUCUAGAGCCACCCGGAUUGGAAGCGGCUAAACGGCCUCCCACCCUUAAUCUCACUGUCUGAAUGAUAAAUCCUGCAGGACUUCUCCUUCCAUUCAAGCCCUUCACACUCUCCUUUGAGGAGCUGCUGCCUCCACCCCCCGACUUGUGUGACCUGAUGACCAAUUGGAGAUGCCACAAGGAACAAAACUCAGCGAGGCCAGAAGAGUCGUUUGGUGCCCAAACUGCCACUCUAGGAAAUGUCUGCAAAUUCAUCCGUGUAAUGUAGUUGAUCAAUGAGGACAACAUGGUGGGUUUGCAUUCUCUCUCGCCCCAAGGAAGCUCAGAGGAACAAAAUGGUAACUGAUCACUUGGACUUUGUUGUCCAGUAAUCAUGAAAGACACAAAGGAUCCUGGUUCUUCUCCCUAUGAUGAGCUGCAAUCCCGAGGAUUUAUUGUGAGAUAAGGGGGCAGAUUCAAGGGUACAACAGUCUGUGGUCUUGAAAUAGGACAAAGGUAUUGGUUCCUUACAGGAAUGAAGCCAGUG
rnacentral:lncRNA from 1 species